GAUGAACGCUAGCUACAGGCUUAACACAUGCAAGUCGCGGGGCAGCAUGGGGGUUGCUUGCAAUCCCCGAUGGCGACCGGCGCACGGGUGAGUAACGCGUAUCCAACCUGCCCUUCACCACGGGAUAACCCGGCGAAAGUCGGACUAAUACCGUAUGUUGUCCAUUGACGGCAUCCGAUUUGGACGAAAGGUUUGGCGGUGAAGGAUGGGGAUGCGUCCGAUUAGCUGGACGGCGGGGUGACGGCCCACCGUGGCGACGAUCGGUAGGGGUUCUGAGAGGAAGGUCCCCCACACUGAACUGAGACACGGUCCAGACUCCUACGGGAGGCAGCAGUGAGGAAUAUUGGUCAAUGGGCGUAAGCCUGAACCAGCCAAGUAGCGUGCAGGAUGACGGCCCUAUGGGUUGUAAACUGCUUUUAUGCGGGGAUAAAGUGGCCCACGUGUGGGUUUUUGCAGGUACCGCAUGAAUAAGGACCGGCUAAUUCCGUG
rnacentral:rRNA from 1 species